CAGUCCAUGGGGUCGCAAAGAGUCAGACAUGGUUGAAUGACUAACCCUUUCUUUUCUCUCCAGUCAUUAUGACCUUCCCUGAGUUCCAAAGGGCAGGUUGCUAGUAAAAGGAGGAGAAACCACCCAAAGCAAGAUUAAAGGGACCAGAGAAGUUCAUAAAGAUUAGGAGAUGGACCACCUGAGACUACGGGCAUGCAAGCCCUGCUCACACCUUGAUCUUGUCAGAGCCCGCCUUUGACCCACUGUUAUGAAAACCCUCAUCAAGUUCUCUAGAGUAGUCACAUAGUUUUUCAGCGCAGAGGCCUGGUGUGUCUCCCUUUGCUUGGCAAGGCAAUAAAGCUAUCCUUUUCUACUUCACCCAAAACCUUGUCUCUGGGAUUUGAUUCGGCACCAGUGUUCAGAGAGGUUGAGCUUUUGGAAAAAGAAAUUAAGACUCAAAAGAAACACCAGGGAUGCUCCAGGAGAGAGGAGAACCCAGUGAGAACAUCGGGGGACAGCCAUCUGCAAGCCAAGGAAAGAGGCUUCUCACGAAAUCCAACCUUGAUCUCACCCUCCCAGCCCCUAGAACUGUGGGGCACCUAGAUGAACUGACCUCAAUGUUGAGAUGUUUCUCUCAGAAUACCACCUGCCAGGGCACCUCCCACCAGUUCUGAGAGCAUCAGGAUAAUCACUGCUCUGUGUUCCUUAAAGUUCCUUGUUCUUGA